rnacentral:rRNA from 1 species
UUGGUGGGGUGAUGGCCUACCAAGGCUGCGACGGGUAGCCGGCCUGAGAGGGUGUCCGGCCACACUGGGACUGAGAUACGGCCCAGACUCCUACGGGAGGCAGCAGUGGGGAAUAUUGCACAAUGGGCGCAAGCCUGAUGCAGCGACGCCGCGUGGGGGAUGACGGCCUUCGGGUUGUAAACCUCUUUCACCAUCGACGAAGCCUUCGGGUGACGGUAGGUGGAGAAGAAGCACCGGCCAACUACGUGCCAGCAGCCGCGGUAAUACGUAGGGUGCGAGCGUUGUCCGGAAUUACUGGGCGUAAAGAGCUCGUAGGUGGUUUGUCGCGUUGUUCGUGAAAUGCCACAGCUUAACUGUGGGCGUGCGGGCGAUACGGGCAGACUGGAGUACUGCAGGGGAGACUGGAAUUCCUGGUGUAGCGGUGGAAUGCGCAGAUAUCAGGAGGAACACCGGUGGCGAAGGCGGGUCUCUGGGCAGUAACUGACGCUGAGGAGCGAAAGCGUGGGGAGCGAACAGGAUUAGAUACCCUGGUAGUCCACGCCGUAAACGGUGGGUACUAGGUGUGGGUUUCCUUCCUUGGGAUCCGUGCCGUAGCUAACGCAUUAAGUACCCCGCCUGGGGAGUACGG